UACAGAGGGUGCGAGCGUUGUUCAGAAUUAUUGGGCGUAAAGCGCUUGUAGGCGGCCUGUCAAGUCGCGUGUGAAAUCCCCUGGCUUAACCAGGGAAGUGCGCGCGAAACUGAAGGGCUUGAGUGCCGGAGAGGGUCGCGGAAUUCCCGGUGUAGAGGUGAAAUUCGUAGAUAUCGGGAGGAACACCAGUGGCGAAGGCGGCGACCUGGACGGACACUGACGCUGAGACGCGAAAGCGUGGGGAGCAAACAGG
rnacentral:rRNA from 1 species